AGUCUUUGUAGUAAUACAAGGCAUACGGCUCAGUAACGCGUAGUCAACCUACCCUAUGGACAAGAAUAAUCUCGGGAAACUGAGCAUAAUUCUUGAUAGAUCAUAAUGCCUGGAAUGGUUUAUGGUUAAAAUGAUUCGUCGCCAUAGGAUGGGACUGCGGCCUAUCAGCUUGUUGGUGAGGUAAUGGCCCACCAAGGCGAUUACAGGUACGGGCUCUGAGAGGAGAAGCCCGGAGAUGGGUACUGAGACAAGGACCCAGGCCCUAUGGGGCGCAGCAGGCGAGAAAACUUUGCAAUGUGCGAAAGCACGACAAGGUUAGUCCGAGUGAUUUCUGCUAAAGAGAUCUUUUGCUAGUUAUAAAACCACUAGUGAAUAAGGGGUGGGCAAGUUCUGGUGUCAGCCGCCGCGGUAAAACCAGCACCUCAAGUGGUCAGGAUGAUUAUUGGGCCUAAAGCAUCCGUAGCCGGCUCUGUAAGUUUUCGGUUAAAUCUAUGCGCUCAACGUAUGGGCUGCCGAAAAUACUGUAGAGAUAGGGAGUGGGAGAGGUAGACGGUACUCGGUAGGAAGGGGUAAAAUCCUUUGAUCUAUCGAUGACCACCUGUGGCGAAGGCGGUCUACCAGAACACGUUCGACGGUGAGGGAUGAAAGCUGGGGGAGCAAACCGGAUUAGAUACCCGGGUAGUCCCAGCUGUAAACGAUGCAGACUCGAUGAUGCAUUGGCAUAUAGCCAGUGCAGUGUCGCAGGGAAGCCGUUAAGUCUGCCGCCUGGGAAGUACGUACGCAAGUAUGAAACUUAAAGGAAUUGGCGGGGGAGCACCACAAGGGGU
rnacentral:rRNA from 1 species